AGUCGAACGGUAGCACAGAGAGCUUGCUCUCGGGUGACGAGUGGCGGACGGGUGAGUAAUGUCUGGGAAACUGCCUGAUGGAGGGGGAUAACUACUGGAAACGGUAGCUAAUACCGCAUAACGUCGCAAGACCAAAGAGGGGGACCUUCGGGCCUCUUGCCAUCAGAUGUGCCCAGAUGGGAUUAGCUAGUAGGUGGGGUAACGGCUCACCUAGGCGACGAUCCCUAGCUGGUCUGAGAGGAUGACCAGCCACACUGGAACUGAGACACGGUCCAGACUCCUACGGGAGGCAGCAGUGGGGAAUAUUGCACAAUGGGCGCAAGCCUGAUGCAGCCAUGCCGCGUGUAUGAAGAAGGCCUUCGGGUUGUAAAGUACUUUCAGCGGGGAGGAAGGUGUUGCGGUUAAUAACCGCAGCAAUUGACGUUACCCGCAGAAGAAGCACCGGCUAACUCCGUGCCAGCAGCCGCGGUAAUACGGAGGGUGCAAGCGUUAAUCGGAAUUACUGGGCGUAAAGCGCACGCAGGCGGUCUGUCAAGUCGGAUGUGAAAUCCCCGGGCUCAACCUGGGAACUGCAUUCGAAACUGGCAGGCUAGAGUCUUGUAGAGGGGGGUAGAAUUCCAGGUGUAGCGGUGAAAUGCCGUAGAGAUCUGGAGGAAUACCGGUGGCGAAGGCGGCCCCCUGGACAAAGACUGACGCU
rnacentral:rRNA from 1 species